rnacentral:rRNA from 1 species
AUGAACGCUGGCGGCGUGCUUAACACCUGCAAGUCGAACGAAGCACUUAAGAUUGAUUCUUCGGAUGACGUCUUUUGUGACUUAGUGGCGGACGGGUGAGUAACGCGUGGGUAACCUGCCUCACACAGGGGGGUAACAGUUAGAAAUGACUGCUAAUACCGCAUAACCCGAUAGGAUCGCAUGAUCCAGACGGAAAAGAUUUAUCGGUGUGAGAUGGACCCGCGUCUGAUUAGCUAGUUGGUGAGGUAACGGCCCACCAAGGCGACGAUCAGUAGCCGGCAUGAGAGGGUGAACGGCCACAUUGGGACUGAGACACGGCCCAAACUCCUACGGGAGGCAGCAGUGGGGAAUAUUGCACAAUGGGGGAAACCCUGAUGCAGCGACGCCGCGUGAGUGAAGAAGUAUUUCGGUAUGUAAAGCUCUAUCAGCAGGGAAGAAAAUGACGGUACCUGACUAAGAAGCCCCGGCUAACUACGUG